AAACCCUAGAUCUAAGUCAUUUCUUUUGAUUUUUUCCAUUUGCUUUCUUUUCUUUCUUUUGCAGCCGAUUAUCCUUGGAGACCCUAGCAAAACAUCACUUAGAUCGUCGUCAAAGCAACCGUCAAUACUCAAUCAUCUUUCACAUUGCAUCUCGUCGUCAGCACGAAGCCUAAGUCCAUCCACUACGGUACGGAUGUUCAAGCGCCGGAGCCAGCUAGAAACUAUUUCUGGUUGUCGUUGCCGUCGCCGUUGCGGCUUAACCAUCAGCUUGUCGAAAACCCUAGAUUUAAAUGGGUUUGGGCUUGUUAUUAAAAUUUGGUCUGGGUUUGUGAUUUUAUUGGCCUUGUAAAUCUUUUUGUA